rnacentral:rRNA from 1 species
CGAUAAGGGCGUUUGGUGGAUGCCUUGGCAGCAAGAGGCGAUGAAGGACGCGAUACCCUGCGAUAAGCUUUGGGGAGCCGGGAAUAGGCUUUGAUCCAAAGAUCUCCGAAUGGGGAAACCCACCUGAAUGCUGGUUAUUGUCACCCAUGCGGUGUCAAUAACCGACAUGACCAGGUACUUAUAGGCUGAAUCCAUAGGCUUAUAAGAGCGAACCCGGGGAACUGAAACAUCUAAGUACCCGGAGGAAAGGAAAUCAACAGAUACUCCCUUAGUAGUGGCGAGCGAACGGGGACCAGCCGAGCCGUGAGAAUGACCAGAAGGACCUGGAAAGGUCCGCCAGAGCGGGUGACAGCCCCGUAUGGGAAGUUUGAUCGGACGCAUUAAGUAGGGCGGGACACGUGAAAUCCUGUCUGAAUAUGGGGGGACCAUCCUCCAAGGCUAAAUACUCCUGAAAGACCGAUAGUGAACAAGUACUGUGAAGGAAAGGUGAAAAGCACUUCGAAUAGAAGGGUGAAAGAGAACCUGAAACCGUACGCCUACAAGCGGUCGGAGCAGAUUUAUUCUGUGACGGCGUGCCUUUUGCAUAAUGAGCCUACGAGUUA